CGUUGAUACACCGGUUCCUGUCUUAUCACCGAAGUUAAGCAACGUCGAGCCUGGUCUGUACUUAGGUGACCGCUUGGGAAUGCUAGGU